AUUGAACGCUGGCGGCAUGCCUAACACAUGCAAGUCGAACGGUAACAUAACCUGCUUGCAGGUUGAUGACGAGUGGCGCACGGGUGAGUAAUACGUAGGGAUCUGCCUUAAAGCGGGGGACAACUCGGGGAAACUCGGGCUAAUACCGCAUAAUCUCUUCGGAGAAAAGCUGGGGACCAUUUAUGGCCUGGCACUUUAAGAUGAACCUACGUCCGAUUAGCUAGUUGGUAGGGUAAAGGCCUACCAAGGCGACGAUCGGUAGCUGGUCUGAGAGGAUGAUCAGCCACACUGGAACUGAGACACGGUCCAG
rnacentral:rRNA from 1 species